UACGUAGGGUGCAAGCGUUGUCCGGAAUUAUUGGGCGUAAAGAGCUCGUAGGCGGUCUGUCGCGUCGGCUGUGAAAACUUGGGGCUCAACCCCAAGCCUGCAGUCGAUACGGGCAGACUAGAGUGCGGUAGGGGAGACUGGAAUUCCUGGUGUAGCGGUGAAAUGACGCAGAUAUCAGGAGGAACACCGGUGGCGAAGGCGGGGUCUCUGGGCCGUAACUGACGCUGAGGAGCGGAAAGCGUGGGGAGCGAACAGG
rnacentral:rRNA from 1 species